GAGCUAUUUCUUCUGACUCAGCAAUAAAUAGUAGAGAAAUACUCUGGGAAUUCAGAUAUAUGAUAUGAAAGUCAUGCUUUCUGAUUGUGGAAGGGACCACAAGUAAGUUCUCCAUGUGCACCCAGACUGGAUCUUCAAUUUAAAAACAUCAAAAUCUGAAUUAUACAGAGGCUAUCCAGCACUAUGGACUAUCUUCCAGGGGAGAAUGUAUUUUUGAGUACUCCAGACAAUUGAAACUACUGAGCCCACUGUCUGGAGAAAGCAUCUGUAACCGCAGCCAAAAGAGGAACAAGGUUUCUGACAUUCUUUCAAGACAUGUGUUUGAAGCAUGGGUUCCCAUCACUUUCAGAUCUUGGACUGUGGAAGCACUGCUCGUGAUGUCUGGAAGAAGACUUUUGGAUCAUUCCUGCCUCCAGCUUUCUCUCCCUGCCUGCAUGCAAGGGAUUACCACAGGUCAGCUUGCAGAGAGGUAAGUGUGGCAGUAAGUAGUGGGGUAGGACAAGAAUUUAUAUUGAUGUGGCUGAUUGUAUACUAGAGUAGAUGAAGAGCAUCCAUUUAUUUUGACAGACUGUGCUGCAAAGAGAUGUGAAUUGUCAUAAGCUCAUUGAUAGCUGUUGUUUAUUUCCAUGGAUUCAUGAAUUUAUUUUUCUCUGCAAUCAAUAUACAGUGUAGAAAGGGACAAAAUCACAGACAAAACGCAAAAACAAUGGUCGGUUGGUUGAUUGAACUGUUGAUCUUAAUAUGGAAAGGAUAAGAAGCACAAAGGGCCUUAAAAAUUGUCUGCAUCACUGUUGUGUUAUGGUUUGUAUUUUAAAGAUGUCAAGUUUUUUUCAAAUCAAAAUAAUUAAUUUCUACCAUUGACUAUUACAAUAAUAUCCGUUACAGUGCUGGGAGGAACAGUUUAAUGUGAAAGCGUUAAGAAUUGGGUUCAUAGGUAUUCAAAUUCAGAAGUACUAUUCUGAAACCAAAUAUUUUAGUUUCUUGCAGAGACUUAUUUUUGCCUACAUAUUCCUUCAAUAAGAGUUCUGUUAUCUGCAGUUGAACAAGAGCAUGCCUUAGUUUAACUCUCAGUUCAGUAAAGCAUUUCUAUUCUGAAUGUUACUUAAAUUUUAUCUAGACAUGUCAUUUGAUAAGACAGAGGUUACUGAACCUGGAGUUAACAACUGGCUGAAGUGUUGUUCUGAACCAGAGCUUGACUGGACAAUAUGUAACAAAGUACAUGUGCACACCAACAUUUCUAUUCAUAGAAUCACAGAUGAUUUGGGUUGAAAGUGACCUUAAAACCAACUAAUUGCAACCCCCUGCCACCUCCCACUAGCCCAGGCUGCCCACAGCUACAUCUGGCCUGGCCUUGGGCACUUCAGAGUUGGGGCAUCCACAGCUUCUCUGGGCAGCCUAGGCCAGGGCCUCACCACCCUCACAGCAAUUCUUCCUUAUACCUAAUCUAAACCUACCUACCUUCUUGUAAUUUUAAACCAUUACCUCUUGUACUAUAACUAGACUUUUAAAGUGUAGUUUUAAACUGUGGUUUUAAA
rnacentral:lncRNA from 1 species